rnacentral:rRNA from 1 species
GACAGAGGCCUCGAGCGUUAGGCGGAAUCACUGGGCUUAAAGCGUGUGUAGGCGGACCGUUAAGUACCUUGUGAAAUCCCACGGCUCAACCGUGGAACGGCUGGGUAUACUGGCGGUCUUGAGCCACCUAGGGGCGAGCGGAACAAACGGUGGAGCGGUGAAAUGCGUAGAUAUCGCUUGGAACGCCAAUGGUGAAGACAGCUCGCUGGGGGUGUGCUGACGCUGAGACACGAAAGCCAGGGGAGCGAACGGG